GGCGCGUUGGCCGAGGAGUUAGGCAAAGCUCUGCAAAAGCUUCAACACGAGUGCAACUCUCGUACGCGCCUCCA
rnacentral:tRNA from 1 species